rnacentral:tRNA from 1 species
UAGGGCAUGGCUCAAAUGGUAGAGCACUUGCCUAACAUGCAUGAGGCCCUGAGUUCAAUCCCCAGUAAGCUAA